UGGGGAAUAUUGCACAAUGGGGGAAACCCUGAUGCAGCGACGCCGCGUGAGCGAAGAAGGUUUUCGAAUCGUAAAGCUCUGUCCUAUGAGAAGAUAAUGACGGUAUCAUAGGAGGAAGCCCCGGCUAAAUACGUGCCAGCAGCCGCGGUAAUACGUAUGGGGCGAGCGUUGUCCGGAAUUAUUGGGCGUAAAGGGUACGUAGGCGGUCUAUUAAGUCAGGUGUGAAAGCGUGAGGCUUAACCUCAUUAAGCACUUGAAACUGAUAGACUUGAGUGAAGGAGAGGAAAGUGGAAUUCCUAGUGUAGCGGUGAAAUGCGUAGAUAUUAGGAGGAAUACCGGUGGCGAAGGCGACUUCCUGGACUUUUACUGACGCUCAGGUACGAAAGCGUGGGGAGCAAACAGG
rnacentral:rRNA from 1 species